rnacentral:rRNA from 1 species
AGUGAACGCUGGCGGUAGGCCUAACACAUGCAAGUCGAACGGCAGCACAGUAAGAGCUUGCUCUUACGGGUGGCGAGUGGCGGACGGGUGAGGAAUACAUCGGAAUCUACUUUUUCGUGGGGGAUAACGUAGGGAAACUUACGCUAAUACCGCAUACGACCUACGGGUGAAAGCAGGGGAUCUUCGGACCUUGCGCGAUUGAAUGAGCCGAUGUCGGAUUAGCUAGUUGGCGGGGUAAAUGCCCACCAAGGCGACGAUCCGUAGCUGGUCUGAGAGGAUGAUCAGCCACACUGGAACUGGGACACGGUCCAGACUCCUACGGGAGGCAGCAGUGGGGAAUAUUGGACAAUGGGCGGAAGCCUGAUCCAGCCAUACCGCGUGGGUGAAGAAGACCUUCGGGUUGUAAAGCCCUUUUGUUGGGAAAGAAAAGCAGCAGGUUAAUACCCCGCUGUUCUGACGGUACCCAAAGAAUAAGCACCGGCUAACUUCGUG